UAUCUCUGUAGAGUCUGCAUAUCAAUAAGCGGAGGAAAAGAAACUAACAAGGAUUCCCUUAGUAACGGCGAGUGAAGCGGGAAGAGCUCAAAUUUGAAAUCUUCAAGGUUCUACCUUGACGAAUUGUAGUUUAAAGAAGUGUUUUCUGUUAGAUUGAGUAGCAAAAGUUCCUUGGAAUGGGACAUCAUAGAGGGUGAGAAUCCCGUAUUUGGUUAUUCAUUCUAGCUUUGUGAUACACUUUCAAAGAGUCGGAUUGUUUGGGAAUGCAGUCCAAAAUGGGUGGUAAAUUUCAUCUAAAGCUAAAUAUUGGCGAGAGACCGAUAGCGAACAAGUACCGUGAGGGAAAGAUGAAAAGAACUUUGAAAAGAGAGUUAAACAGUACGUGAAAUUGUCAAAAGGGAAGCGUUUGACACCAGUGUUGUUUUUCUCGAAAAUCAAUUAAAAUGGCUUGAUUUUGUGUUGUAUUGACCUUAUCAGCUUUCUGCACUUUUUUUCGAGUCUUUCUUAAUGCACUUUUUCGGUUAACAAGUCAACAUCAAUUUCUUUUGUUGUAAAAGAGUAUUCGGAAGGUGGCUUUCUUUUCGGAGAAAGUGUUUAUAGCCUUAUGCCUCUAGCAAUCGGAGAGAUUGAGGUCUGCAGCGUAGAUCCUUCGGGGUUAGAUACAUUUGUGCUAAGUUAUAGCCUUUCAUAGACAACUUGUUGACUAUGAUUCAGUCAUGUAGCUUACUCGCUUAUGCUAUUUUACCUACGCUUAGGAUGUUGACGAGACUGUCGAUCUC
rnacentral:rRNA from 1 species